GCGUGCCUAACACAUGCAAGUCGCACGAGAAAGGGGCUUCGGCUCUGAGUAAAGUGGCGCACGGGUGAGUAACACGUGACUAACCUACCUUCGGAUGGGGAAUAACUGAGAGAAAUCUUAGCUAAUACCGCAUAAUACCUACGGGUCAAAGCAGUAAUGCGUUUGAAGAGGGGGUCGCGGUCGAUUAGUUAGUUGGCGGGGUAAUGGCCCACCAAGACGAUGAUCGAUAUCCGGCCUGAGAGGGCGCACGGACACACUGGAACUGAAACACGGUCCAGACUCCUACGGGAGGCAGCAGUGGGGAAUUUUGCGCAAUGGGGGAAACCCUGACGCAGCAACGCCGCGUGGAGGAUGAAAUAUCUUGGUAUGUAAACUCCUUUCGAUGGGGAAGAUUAUGACGGUACCCAUAGAAGAAGCCCCGGCUAACUUCGUGCCAGCAGCCGCGGUAAUACGAGGGGGGCAAGCGUUGUUCGGAAUUAUUGGGCGUAAAGGGUGCGUAGGCGGUUUGACAAGUCUCAUGUGAAAUCUCUGGGCUCAACCCAGAGUCUGCAUGGGAAACUGUCGGGCUUGAGUAUGGGAGAGGUGAGUGGAAUUUCCGGUGUAGCGGUGAAAUGCGUAGAUAUCGGAAGGAACACCUGUGGCGAAAGCGGCUCACUGGACCAUAACUGACGCUGAUGCACGAAAGCUAGGGGAGCAAACAGGAUUAGAUACCCUGGUAGUCCUAGCCCUAAACGAUGAUUGCUUGAUGUGGCAGGUACCCAAUCCUGCCGUGUCGAAGCUAACGCGAUAAGCAAUCCGCCUGGGGAGUACGGUCGCAAGGCUG
rnacentral:rRNA from 1 species